rnacentral:rRNA from 1 species
CCGGCAACCGGCGCACGGGUGAGUAACACGUAUGCAACCUGCCCGUCUCAGGGGGAUAAUCGUCGGAAACGGCGUCUAAUACCCCGUAUGAAGCUGGACGGCAUCGUCUGGUUUUGAAAGAAUAUCGGAGACGGAUGGGCAUGCGGCGCAUUAGCUAGUUGGCGGGGUAACGGCCCACCAAGGCGACGAUGCGUAGGGGUUCUGAGAGGAAGGUCCCCCACACUGGUACUGAGACACGGACCAGACUCCUACGGAAGGCAGCAG